rnacentral:rRNA from 1 species
AUUGAACGCUGGCGGCAUGCCUAACACAUGCAAGUCGAACGGUAACGCGAAGAGCUUGCUCUUUGGCGACGAGUGGCGGACGGGUGAGUAAUACUUAGGAAUCUACCCAGUAGCGGGGGACAACUCGGGGAAACCCGAGCUAAUACCGCAUACGCCCUACGGGGGAAAGCAGGGGAUCUUCGGACCUUGCACUAUUGGAUGAGCCUAAGUCGGAUUAGCUAGUUGGUAGGGUAAAGGCCUACCAAGGCGACGAUCCGUAGCUGGUCUGAGAGGACGAUCAGCCACACUGGGACUGAGACACGGCCCAGACUCCUACGGGUGGCAG